UUAACAAUAUUAUAUGUAGUCUUGAGAAGAAAAAAAAAAUCCCUCUAGUAUAGAGGACCGCGUUUCCAAGUUCAACACGAAAUCAUAACGGGUCUCCAGUGAUAUCGUCUCAAUUCGGAUUUCACAGUUGAACAAGGCAGUAGCAUUCAGUUAGCAUCAACUAGCAAUUCUCCAGAUGACUGCAGAGUAUUCAUUAAUACCAGAUAUACUAAGGUGAGGGUUGUUAUGCAAUAUGUAUAUACAUAUAUAAACUGGGUAAUUUUGAAUCUGUUAAUGCUGUGCUAAGAGUGUGUAUCUUGUGUGAUCACAAGCCAGCAACUGGGCCGUCUUACCUUUCAGUCAGAAACAGAGGAAAGUGAUUAUCAGGGGAAGGUCUUCUAAAAUCAUUUAGGAUUAUACCAAUCUAGUGACUGUUCAGUGUUUCAAGAGUUAUUGGACUUUCCUCCCCUUGAUACAAAGUUUGAGCAAGAAAAAUAAUUUCAGUUUUUAGCAAUGCGUCUCUACAACUGAAGAGGACUAAUUUGAUGAACAAUUUGGAAAAUUUUCAACAUGUUUGUUGGUUAGGUCUUUCAACUUGUACCAUUCCCUUUCUUAGCCAGGGACUUUUAUCUGUUACGCACCACUUAACAUUCCCACUCUUCAUUUCUGGAGUACAAAUGUGCUCUUGCCUAUGCCUAUGGUGCAUGCAGAACAUAGAAAGCACAGAAAAAGACUCAAGAAGAAACAGUAUUAAUGACCACAUUAAGUUCACUUUUAAACCCAAUUUUGGUUUCUUCAUGCAUGCAAAUCCUACAUUCAUAGAUUCAUCGAUUGAUACAUGCAUUUUCUAACUCACAUUCAUCAAAUAUUUUGGCUUCUUCAUCUAUGUAAAAUACUACAUACAUAUAUAGAUUAAUGGAUUUUCAUAGAUUGAUGCAUUUUUCUAGUAUGGUUGCAUACAUUAAUUAAAUUCAUCCUAAAAGAACUCAAAAUUCAUGAAAGUUAUGUUCCCAUCUAAAAAUCAAUUACCGUUCCAUGAAAGUAGAUUAAGAUGUCUACUCCAACAUGAUGACCUUAGCUUUGGUAUCAACUUUUAAAUUGAGUUUUGAUCAUCUUAUCUGAAAAUUAAAUGGUAUCCAAUGAUUUGAAUCUUUUAUGACAUUAAACAUCACUAUCAUUUAGAUGACUCAUUUUGAAGUUGAAAAGCGAUAUUAGUGCAUUCCAAUACAAAGAACUUAAUUUUCGCUUAUCGAUGAGAUAAUUUAUAAAGAAGUAUAUAUAAAAGAUUCGUAAUCCCUCUCUCCACUCAUUAUUUUCUUAUUAUCUCUUAUCCAUCAUUAAGAACCGCUUAAAAGUAAAAGUAGGAGCAUAAAGAUUAAAGACUUCAAAAUUAUUAUUUUCAUAUUUCUACUAUUAAAAUUUUAGCAUUAUUGAUCAAUGCAUGCACUAUUUCAUUCAUAUUUUUAAUUGUUUUUUGAUACUUAAAUCAAUAAAAUAUUAGUGCAUAUGUUGUUAGAACCAUGGUUAAGAAUUUGUAAUCUUUCUCUUCCUUGGUCUUGAUCAUAAUUUCUAUUUCAGUUAUGAUAAGAUUAUUUGUACCUAUCACAAUGUUAUUUUCACAACAUCAAAGCCAUGAAUAGAUGAAUUUGCACCUAGAGUACUUGUCCUCUAUCAGUAAUCAGAGGCACAGUCUAAUCUUAUUGUGUAAUCGUUUCAGGCUUUGGAAGGGCAUAGAGUCUCACCGUUCCCAACCCUUCAACUUGCACCGUUUUGGCCUCCUUUUACGUCAAAACGGGCCACCCUGUUUUGACCUUUAUGUGUUAAAAUGCACCGAAUUUUAAUUUCACCCUUUUGACUUGUCUGCACUACAACGCACCGUUUUAUUUAGAACGUGAAGAGGCAUGGGGGGGCUUCAGGCUUGGUAGGUGGUGUGUCACUGUGUCUCCUUCUCUCAGUCUGUACCUGGGCCCAGAUCCCGAAGACCAAAAGGGUGAUCCGAUGGUGGAGGAGGGGCGGGGGUGCUGGGGUUCCAGAAACGUGACUGAGCCAUAAGAUGCAACAGUGGGCGUCGGCAUGGUAAAAGAGCCCAGAUAUGUAGGAUUCGUAAGAUCUCAUCUCAUGUCUUUUUGGAAUGAGUGCGAGCAUUUUCAGUCAGUUUCUUAAGGUUGGUGAAGAAUCUCUGAUACCGUGUGAGUGCGACACUCACUGAAUUUUCCCAUUUACAGUAAAAUAAUUUCCCAUUCUUUCUCUCGGGCCAUGGGCGAACUUGGGACAAUGGCGUGCCAUUUACGAAAGAUACCAGAUGCUGCUACUACUGCUUACUACUACUACCUACUACCAUUAUCAAUCUUAUUCCUCAGUCACACCCAAGUUAACACAGAGAUGCCGCUUUUAGGUGAUGGAUGUUUGCACACCCCUUGAGCGCCAUGAGGCUGUCUCCUCAUUUCAGCAUCUUGUAGUUACACCAAACGUCACCCUUUGGUAAGUAAAGUUUGACAGAGGAUCAUACACAAUGAUGGUUACCAACAAUGUGGACCCGACUUGACCCGAUAUAAUAAUCACUGCGCAAAGCCCACCACCAUCCCAUUUCCUCUCCAUCUUCCACCGUCAUUGCCAUCCCAUGGUUGGUCAAUGAUGUGGGGUCCCGACAUUCUCGAGGCAAUCCACGUGUCUCUCUGUCCUGCCAGUCAAAUUCUCAACAAAGUGUAAAACCAUCAUUUCUAUGGUUCCACCCGCGUAACAUUUGGCUCAAACUGGGUGCAUUGGGUGGUCUCAGAUACCCUAGCCUAGAUGUAAAUGAAUCUGUACAUUUUUUUCUCCACAUGAUCGAUAGAGCAUAUUUAGAACUCCAAUGAAUGACAGUAAUUUUUGUACAUGGUGAUCAGCCAUGCGACAUUGACUUCUUACGCAGCAUGCGACUGCAAAACAAAGUAAAAUGGCAGAGAUGGC
rnacentral:lncRNA from 1 species